rnacentral:rRNA from 1 species
GACGGAGGAUGCAAGCGUUAUCCGGAAUGAUUGGGCGUAAAGCGUCCGCAGGUGGCAGUUCAAGUCUGCUGUCAAAGACCGGGGCUUAACUUCGGAAAGGCAGUGGAAACUGAACAGCUAGAGUAUGGUAGGGGCAGAGGGAAUUCCUGGUGUAGCGGUGAAAUGCGUAGAGAUGCGGAGGAACACCGAUGGCGAAGGCAGCCCCCUGGGCCAACACUGACGCUCAGGCACGAAAGCGUGGGGAGCAAACAGG